rnacentral:rRNA from 1 species
CAGGCUUAACACAUGCAAGUCGAGGGGCAGCAUGGUCUUAGCUUGCUAAGGCCGAUGGCGACCGGCGCACGGGUGAGUAACACGUAUCCAACCUGCCGUCUACUCUUGGACAGCCUUCUGAAAGGAAGAUUAAUACAAGAUGGCAUCAUGAGUCCGCAUGUUCACAUGAUUAAAGGUAUUCCGGUAGACGAUGGGGAUGCGUUCCAUUAGAUAGUAGGCGGGGUAACGGCCCACCUAGUCUUCGAUGGAUAGGGGUUCUGAGAGGAAGGUCCCCCACAUUGGAACUGAGACACGGUCCAAACUCCUACGGGAGGCAGCAGUGAGGAAUAUUGGUCAAUGGGCGAGAGCCUGAACCAGCCAAGUAGCGUGAAGGAUGACUGCCCUAUGGGUUGUAAACUUCUUUUAUAAAGGAAUAAAGUCGGGUAUGGAUACCCGUUUGCAUGUACUUUAUGAAUAAGGAUCGGCUAACUCCGUGCCAGCAGCCGCGGUAAUACGGAGGAUCCGAGCGUUAUCCGGAUUUAUUGGGUUUAAAGGGAGCGUAGAUGGAUGUUUAAGUCAGUUGUGAAAGUUUGCGGCUCAACCGUAAAAUUGCAGUUGAUACUGGAUAUCUUGAGUGCAGUUGAGGCAGGCGGAAUUCGUGGUGUAGCGGUGAAAUGCUUAGAUAUCACGAAGAACUCCGAUUGCGAAGGCAGCCUGCUAAGCUGCAACUGACAUUGAGGCUCGAAAGUGUGGGUAUCAAACAGGAUUAGAUACCCUGGUAGUCCACACGGUAAACGAUGAAUACUCGCUGUUUGCGAUAUACUGCAAGCGGCCAAGCGAAAGCGUUAAGUAUUCCACCUGGGGAGUACGCCGGCAACGGUGAAACUCAAAGGAAUUGACGGGGGCCCGCACAAGCGGAGGAACAUGUGGUUUAAUUCGAUGAUACGCGAGGAACCUUACCCGGGCUUAAAUUGCAGAUGAAUUACGGUGAAAGCCGUAAGCCGCAAGGCAUCUGUGAAGGUGCUGCAUGGUUGUCGUCAGCUCGUGCCGUGAGGUGUCGGCUUAAGUGCCAUAACGAGCGCAACCCUUGUUGUCAGUUACUAACAGGUUCCGCUGAGGACUCUGACAAGACUGCCAUCGUAAGAUGUGAGGAAGGUGGGGAUGACGUCAAAUCAGCACGGCCCUUACGUCCGGGGCUACACACGUGUUACAAUGGGGGGUACAGAGGGUCGCUACCACGCGAGUGGAUGCCAAUCCCCAAAACCUCUCUCAGUUCGGACUGGAGUCUGCAACCCGACUCCACGAAGCUGGAUUCGCUAGUAAUCGCGCAUCAGCCACGGCGCGGUGAAUACGUUCCCGGGCCUUGUACACACCGCCCGUCAAGCCAUGGGAGCCGGGGGUACCUGAAGUGCGUAACCGCGAGGAGCGCCCUAGGGUAAAACUGGUGACUGGGGCUAAGUCAUAACA